rnacentral:rRNA from 1 species
AUUGAACGCUGGCGGCAGGCUUAACACAUGCAAGUCGAGCGGGGUGAUGGUGCUUGCACUAUCACUUAGCGGCGGACGGGUGAGUAAUGCUUAGGAAUCUGCCUAUUAGUGGGGGACAACAUCUCGAAAGGGAUGCUAAUACCGCAUACGUCCUACGGGAGAAAGCAGGGGAUCACUUGUGACCUUGCGCUAAUAGAUGAGCCUAAGUCGGACUAGCUAGUUGGUGGCGUAAAGGCCUACCAAGGCGACGAUCUGUAGCGGGUCUGAGAGGGUGAUCCGCCACACUGGGACUGAGACACGGCCCAGACUCCUACGGGAGGCAGCGGUGGGGAAUAUUGGACAAUGGGGGGAGCCCUGAUCCAGCCAUGCCGCGUGUGUGAAGAAGGCCUUAUGGUUGUAAAGCACUUUAAGCGAGGAGGAGGCUCUUUUGGUUAAUACCCAAGAUGAGUGGACGUUACUCGCAGAAUAAGCACCGGCUAACUCUGUGCCAUCCGCCACCGUAA